UAAAAAUCUUAAGAUUGUCCUAUAACUUGCCUUCUGACUUGUGCAGCUCAAACUCCAGUGAUUAAUAUCACCAGCAUGAAUGGUGACUUUGGGAUUUUUGUUGCCAGGAGUUAAGCAGAUUUUAAGUUGUGGAUCUGGAAUCACAGCAAGAUAUUAUGAGGAGUAUUUUAGCUCAUAGAAUGUACUGAUUCUGAAAGUGAACAAAAUGAAUGUGUUUGUACUGCUUCUUUGAAAUGGUAGAAGUGAAUUUGUGCAAUGGUGUAAAGUACAAGACAUCUACUCUAUCCUAGAGAAGCUGAUCACUCUUUAAUUCUGAGAAAUUUAAAAUGUGCCUUGAAUUUAUUAAUACACUCCUAUCAAUCUGUUAAUAUAUUUUUAACUCCAUUUCACAAAUAAUGAAGCAGAAUGAGACAAGACAGAUGUUUAAUCAAAACCAUUGGGCAGAUUUAGAAAUAAUCAAAAUCAACGACAGAUUUAGAAAUAACCUUAUGACCAAGAAAGCCAGCAGAGAAAGUGUGAUAAACAACUGUCUUUAUACUUUGUAUAGGCCUUCUUUUGCUUGAGAAUGGAGCAGCCUCUGUUCCUUGAGGACAUAAAAAACUUUGUAAUACACAUUUGUAAACACAUAUUUUUAAGACCAUUGCUCAGUUGCUUGUUUAUCUGAAGUCUGUAGAUGAGAAUAUAUUCAGAAAAUAAAGGAAAAGAGGACAGGAAAAAAGGAUAAUAAGUAGGGAAAGAAGAAAAGAGGAGCAGCUGAUCUUUAAAUAAGAUUUCUUCUGACAGUCUCAACAGCCUGUGGAAGUUAUUCCUGUACCUAGAAAAGGCACCUGAAGAAGUGGAAAGAACCUAUUUACAGUAUAAAACCAGCUGGAUCCAGAAAAGUGAAUCAGUGCUAAGUGCUUCCAUGACCUGGAACUGGAGUAGUUGUAAUUGACAGCAGUUCCCUUUCCUGUAUUCAUUGAAUAAACAGAGUCCUUUUCCUAUCAGGGAUGUUUUCAAGUUCUCUAGAUACAGUUUUCAUCAGUAUCUGUGGCUGUCCCGUUUGGAACCCUUUGGACUCUGCACCACUCCUAUUCACAUGAUGAUCUUGCAUUCCUCCUGGAGACAAAAAUGUGUGCUCAUCCAGCUAGAGAGUGGAAACUUACUGACUGUACAGAGCUUGGCAGGAGCUCCUGUUCCAGCCUCCUGACAAGAGCAGGGACAGGCUACAUUUCCAUAAGUGCUGAGCCAAUUAAAGCCUUUUUGUCUCUGCAUUGAGGCUUCUUCUCUCCCUGUUUGUUCUUUCUCCAUUCUUAGGAUGAGUAUGCAAAGCAAGAAAGCUGUUUUUUUUCUGUGCCUAGUUAGUGUUGUAGGCAAGGUUUGGAGCAAAUGCAGACCCAUUGUAACAUUUCUGCAAGAGCCCUGCAAGUGGAACUGCCUACAGCAAGAGCACAGAUUAUGUUUUACGUCUGACACAUUCAUCUUUUAACGUAUUAGAGCAGAAGUUGCAACAGUUCUUUGGAGUCCCCAAAUGAAUUAUCAGUGCAAACUGUCUUUCUACUGCCUGGAGCUCUGUCUGUGGUCCUUGUUUUAACUCUUUGCUAGCCACAAUCCAAAACACAGGGAAAACUGCAUUAAAUGAUGAAGUUCCUUAACUGCAUGAAUGUAUGUUUUUAUUGUAGUAUUAACUUAAAUAAACUAUUGCCUGCAGUGGAA